rnacentral:rRNA from 1 species
GGCUCAGAUUGAACGCUGGCGGCAGGCCUAACACAUGCAAGUCGAGCGGUAGCACAGAGAGCUUGCUCUCGGGUGACGAGCGGCGGACGGGUGAGUAAUGUCUGGGAAACUGCCUGAUGGAGGGGAAUAACUACUGGAAACGGUAGCUAAUACCGCAUAACGUCGCAAGACCAAAGUGGGGGACCUUCGGGCCUCAUGCCAUCAGAUGUGCCCAGAUGGGAUUAGCUAGUAGGUGGGGUAACGGCUCACCUAGGCGACGAUCCCUAGCUGGUCUGAGAGGAUGACCAGCCACACUGGAACUGAGACACGGUCCAGACUCCUACGGGAGGCAGCAGUGGGGAAUAUUGCACAAUGGGCGCAAGCCUGAUGCAGCCAUGCCGCGUGUAUGAAGAAGGCCUUCGGGUUGUAAAGUACUUUCAGCGGGGAGGAAGGCGAUAAGGUUAAUAACCUUGUCGAUUGACGUUACCCGCAGAAGAAGCACCGGCUAACUCCGUGCCAGCAGCCGCGGUAAUACGGAGGGUGCAAGCGUUAAUCGGAAUUACUGGGCGUAAAGCGCACGCAGGCGGUCUGUCAAGUCGGAUGUGAAAUCCCCGGGCUCAACCUGGGAACUGCAUUCGAAACUGGCAGGCUAGAGUCUUGUAGAGGGGGGUAGAAUUCCAGGUGUAGCGGUGAAAUGCGUAGAGAUCUGGAGGAAUACCGGUGGCGAAGGCGGCCCCCUGGACAAAGACUGACGCUCAGGUGCGAAAGCGUGGGGAGCAAACAGGAUUAGAUACCCUGGUAGUCCACGCCGUAAACGAUGUCGAUUUGGAGGUUGUGCCCUUGAGGCGUGGCUUCCGGAGCUAACGCGUUAAAUCGACCGCCUGGGGAGUACGGCCGCAAGGUUAAAACUCAAAUGAAUUGACGGGGGCCCGCACAAGCGGUGGAGCAUGUGGUUUAAUUCGAUGCAACGCGAAGAACCUUACCUGGUCUUGACAUCCACAGAACUUAGCAGAGAUGCUUUGGUGCCUUCGGGAACUGUGAGACAGGUGCUGCAUGGCUGUCGUCAGCUCGUGUUGUGAAAUGUUGGGUUAAGUCCCGCAACGAGCGCAACCCUUAUCCUUUGUUGCCAGCGGUUAGGCCGGGAACUCAAAGGAGACUGCCAGUGAUAAACUGGAGGAAGGUGGGGAUGACGUCAAGUCAUCAUGGCCCUUACAACCAGGGCUACACACGUGCUACAAUGGCAUAUACAAAGAGAAGCGACCUCGCGAGAGCAAGCGGACCUCAUAAAGUAUGUCGUAGUCCGGAUUGGAGUCUGCAACUCGACUCCAUGAAGUCGGAAUCGCUAGUAAUCGUAGAUCAGAAUGCUACGGUGAAUACGUUCCCGGGCCUUGUACACACCGCCCGUCACACCAUGGGAGUGGGUUGCAAAAGAAGUAGGUAGCUUAACCUUCGGGAGGGCGCUUACCACUUUGUGAUU